AGUCAGAUAUUAGUCAAUGCUCGCCAGAGUGUACUAGCUACUGAAAUCACAANAUCACAGAUAGGUGCUAAUUGUGAUAACGUAAGGGGAAAAAUUGAUAUUACCUUACUAAAAGUGUUGUCUAAAUAACUGGUGCCAGAAGACUCGGUAACACCAGAAACGCGAACGUUAGUCGUCUUAAACAGGCGUAAAGGGUAAGUAGGCUGCUUUAAAUUUUUAUUUUUAUAAAAGCUAAAUAAUAAAUUUUGCUUAGUAAUAACUACUAGCUUGUUAGUCUAAGACUUAGUAGCAAGUAAUAUCUUGCUUACAAGUAAGUUCAAGUAUAACUUUUGUUAGUAGUUACAACAAUACGAAGUUAGCUAGCUAAUUCAAAGAAUCAAGCUACUAAAUUUUUAAUUUAUUAAAUAAUAUAAAGAUAGGUAUACUUAAAGCUAGAAUCAUAAUUGAGAUAAACCAAAUAAUACUAAAGUGUAAGGGUAAAAUCUAAAAAUACUAAGUAGAAUACUAACGGUGAAAACUUUUUAUCUAGGAGUGAUUGACGCUGAGGUACGAAAGUGAGAACAGGGAAUAGGAUUAGAUACCCAGUUACCUCUCACCGUCAACGAUGAAUGGCAGUUGUUAGUCUCUAAGUAAAAUUAAAUUAAAACUAGUGACGAUGUUAACGCGAUAACUAUUACGCCUGAGAGUACUGUUGCAAAACUGAACCAAAAAAAUUAGUCGGUCUCGGAGCCAACGGAGUGAAGCAUGUUAUUUANUCGAUAUC
rnacentral:rRNA from 1 species